rnacentral:tRNA from 1 species
GCCGGCGUAGCUUAAAGGUAAAGCAAUCGCCUUGUAAGCGAUGGAUUAGGAGUUCAAGUCUCCUCGUCGGCU